rnacentral:rRNA from 1 species
CGUCCAGCCCGCUCAGAAACUCCAAGGAAGUUGACGGGGCCCGCACAAGCGGAGGAGCAUGUGGUUUAAUUCGAUGAUACGCGAGGAACCUUACCUGGGCUCGAACGUAAGAUGACUGUAGGUGAAAGCUUACAUCUCUUCGGAGCAUUUUACGAGGUGCUGCAUGGUUGUCGUCAGCUCGUGCCGUGAGGUGUCGGGUUAAGUCCCAUAACGAGCGCAACCCCUACCUUUAGUUGCCAUCAGGUAAUGCUGGGGACUCUAAAGGAACUGCCUACGCAAGUAGUGAGGAAGGCGGGGAUGACGUCAAAUCAGCACGGCCCUUACGUCCAGGGCUACACACGUGCUACAAUGGCCGAUACAGAGGGCAGCUACCUGGUGACAGGAUGCAAAUCUCCAAAGUCGGUCUCAGUUCGGAUCGGAGUCUGCAACCCGACUCCAUGAAGUUGGAAUCGCUAGUAAUCGUGGAUCAGCAUGCCACGGUGAAUACGUUCCCGGGCCUU